rnacentral:rRNA from 1 species
CCUACGGGAGGCAGUAGUGAGGAAUAUUGGUCAAUGGACGCUAGUCUGAACCAGCCAUGCCGCGUGCAGGAUGACGGCUCUAUGAGUUGUAAACUGCUUUUGUACAAGAGUAAACCGCAGUACGUGUAUCGUGUUGUAUGUAUCGUACGAAUAAGGAUCGGCUAACUCCGUGCCAGCAGCCGCGGUAAUACGGAGGAUCCGAGCGUUAUCCGGAUUUAUUGGGUUUAAAGGGUGCGUAGGUGGUUUGGUAAGUUAGUGGUGAAAGUUUGGGGCUCAACCGUGAAAUUGCCGUUAAUACUGUUGGACUAGAGAAUAGUAGAGGUAGGCGGAAUGUGUGGUGUAGCGGUGAAAUGCUUAGAGAUCACACAGAACUCCGAUUGCGAAGGCAGCUCACUAAACUACAUCUGACGUUGAUGCACGAAAGUGUGGGUAGCAAACAGGAUUAGAUACCCUGGUAGUC